rnacentral:rRNA from 1 species
UACGUAGGUGGCAAGCGUUGUCCGGAAUUACUGGGUGUAAAGGGCGUGUAGGCGGGAGAGCAAGUCAGACGUGAAAUUCCAGGGCUCAACCCUGGAACUGCGUUUGAAACUGUUCUUCUUGAGUGAUGGAGAGGCAGGCGGAAUUCCGUGUGUAGCGGUGAAAUGCGUAGAUAUACGGAGGAACACCAGUGGCGAAGGCGGCCUGCUGGACAUUAACUGACGCUGGGGCGCGAAAGCGUGGGGAGCAAACAGG